ACGUACACUCCUGCGGGAGGCAGCAGUGGGGAAUUUUGGACAAUGGGCGCAAGCCUGAUCCAGCCAUGCCGCGUGCGGGAAGAAGGCCUUCGGGUUGUAAACCGCUUUUGUCAGGGAAGAAAAGGUUCUGGCUAAUACCUGGGACUCAUGACGGUACCUGAAGAAUAAGCACCGGCUAACUACGUGCCAGCAGCCGCGGUAAUACGUAGGGUGCAAGCGUUAAUCGGAAUUACUGGGCGUAAAGCGUGCGCAGGCGGUUAUGCAAGACAGAGGUGAAAUCCCCGGGCUCAACCUGGGAACUGCCUUUGUGACUGCAUGGCUAGAGUACGGUAGAGGGGGAUGGAAUUCCGCGUGUAGCAGUGAAAUGCGUAGAUAUGCGGAGGAACACCGAUGGCGAAGGCAAUCCCCUGGACCUGUACUGACGCUCAUGCACGAAAGCGUGGGGAGCAAACAGGAUUAGAUACCCCGGUAGUCCC
rnacentral:rRNA from 1 species